AAGACACUUCCUUGUGCUGGGUGAAUUAUGUGUCCUUUGCCAGGCGUGACCACUGAGACACACAUGAGGGGCCUAUGAGGUCAGGUCAACAUUUAUUGAGCACCUGCUGCAUGCCUAGCUUUGGGAAAUGGCCGAGAGGCCCUCAGAGAGGCUUAUGGGGCAGGAGCAGCCCAGUCAGGAUGAGGGCUCCACUUCCACUGAGGGCGGGCUGAGCUUGCAAGGCCAAGAUAACAUUCCCCUGGGUGCCUGCCAGCGGCCCCCACCGUGGGGUAACUGGAGUCACCCUUACCCACUUCACUAAACUUGAGGUUGUGAGUUAUUCUCAGUGUUGACCUUUUCCUGAACUGCAGCUGCAAUCUGUAAAGGCCAAGGGACAGGGUGAGGCAGGAGGUGUGACUGGGCAGGCCUGCUCCAGAGGGGUGGAAAUAGCCGGCAGAUGGCAGAGAGGAGGUGCCAGGCCUGGGGCCUGCACGGAGCCUUGUCAGGCAGCCUGCAGAACAAACCUCGCCUGAGCAGCCCUAGCAGCAGGUGGUCAGGGACUCAUCUCAGCUAUGGCCACAGCUGGUGCCAAACAGUGAGCGGGACCUAUCCUUGCGGCUUGCCUGAGCGUGGCCCUGGUGGGAGAAAGGCUCUGGCUGUGGAAUGCAGGGGAGGCUUGGGGUGCAGGGUGCAGUGUGGGUGCUGUGAAUGCAGCAGGUGCUGUUCUAACACGUGACCGUAGCAGGCACACCAAAGAGGGUGUCAUCCAGUGGGAGUUUUCCCACUGGGGCUGUUUGCAGGCCUUUAGACUGGGAGCUGUUUGCUCGGUGGCCGCAUCCACAGAUGUGAUCUCCUUUGAAAGCUCUGAAGGCCUCGGAGUCUGGGAGAAAAUGAAGCUCUAAGGCCCUAAGGCAUCUGUUGUGUGUAAUGAGUUAACUUCUUUCUAGAAUGGGACUAAUUAUGUACCAUCCUUGGAAGAAUUGAGAAGAGUCACUCAGAUCAUUUUCUGCAUCCUGUGGCUCAGAUGAGGAACCCCGGUCGAGAGAGGCUGUGCAGCUUCUAACAUGUUGCAUGUCUGAUAAAGUAGGGGAGGCGCCUUCUACCUCUUUCCCGGGAUCUGGAGCCUGAACAGGAGGUGGUCAGGAACGAGUGGCCUGCCAGUCACCCCUCUGUGGGUUUUCACUGGCCGUAACAGUCCAGCGUGCAGAGAUGAAGGGGGGUGUGGCUUAGGGAGAGGCGCAGGUCUCCAGGUAAGGCCUGGGGUAAGGCAUGGGGCUGGGGCUGGGCAGUGUGGCCUGAGUGACCGAGGUGGGCACAAUGAAGGCCUCCUGGGCCAGGCCAUGCAUACCACAUACACAGUGGCUGCAGGAGGGACCUGCCUUGGUCACUAAGGAUGUAUAUCAUUUUGAAUCAAGAGGUGUCACCUGAGGAGCCAGGGACAGGGGAAAUUUCUGGAGCCUAGUAUCUCUCAGGUGAGACAGAGGGUCAGGACAGACAUAGGGGAUUUUGUACUGGCUUAGAGGUAAGAUCAGAAGAGUCCAGUCUGGCAGGGGGACAUAUAAGUGGUGAGCCUGGUCAUUUAGGGUCAGUCAUGGGGUAGCCUCGUGUCGGGAUCAGGCAGAGGUACGAUGGUAAAUAGUGGGGUUUCUCAGGGCUCGGCGGCUCAGCCACAGUCCGCAUACAUUGGAGAGCUAACUUUGACUGGUGGGGUCUGAAGAGGAGCCAGGACAGGUACAGGUGAGUUCUGAGGAGGAGCAAGGACAGGUAAAGGUACUGAUGAGGUCUAUGAAUUCUGGAAAAAGACACCAGUAUUUACAGAUGGUUCUAUCAAGUGAGGUCUGAGAAACCAAAGUCAUGUACAGGUACUUUAACCUGGAUCUAUGAAGUGAAGUCCCUGGCAUAGGACAGUCAUAUACAUCGGGGUCUCUCUUGACUGGUUCUGCAAAGUGAGCAUCAGGCCAUGGGUGUGUGCUCACUCAAAUGAGGUGAUUAAAACUCAGAAUUAGGCAAAUACACAUAAGCCCCCUGAGCCACAUCAGCCACCUGGCUCUCGGCAUCCUGACCAGGUGUGAUAAGCAGAGCUCAGAGGUUGCAGAGGCCUUUGCGGAUCCACAACCAGCCAAGGUUCUGGCACUGGGUUCUGGCUGGGGUGGGGUUUGAGGGGCCCAGAGAGGUAAAGUUAGGAAUAGAGCAAGUUAUAAAAGGUGAGGACUGGGGAGUUGGGGCGUGUGAAACAGAUACAGGAGCUGUGUUGGUAAGGUAUAGUUUGAGAGGCUCGUGGCAGACAAAGGUCUAGAGACCCACGUCUAUAGGGUGAGAGGUCUGAGGCCCAAGGGGCUCUCACCAGUCCUCCCUCAGGCCCAGGAAAGCAGCCAGGAAUUUGUCCCGUCUGAGAGAAAUACUGUUCGGAUUAAGUUUGUACAGUGGAGUCGGCCAGGGGCGGUGUGUAGAGCCACAUCUGUCUGAGGUCUCAGGAGCUAGAGUCAGACAAGGUGUGUAUAACUAGGCAGGUUUCUUAGGGAGGCCUGAGGAGCCAAGAUUUGGCACAUAUAGGUAGAAGCGGGUUGCUCAGGUAAGGACACUGGAGUUGGAAAAGGGCAGAGAGAGCAAAGUCUGACAAGUGAGGACUAGAAAUCCAUGGUCAGGUCCAGGUCAGAGCUAUGUCCUCAGGUGAUAUCCAGCAGUUCUGGUCGUGCACAACUCGGUGAUCCUAGAGGUGGUCCUGGGUCCCCUGGCAAAAGACUGAAAAGCUGGAGUCAGGCAAAAGGAAGGGGAAGGGGAACUGCAUCCAUGAAUUCUGGGUCUGGCUCAGGUAUGUAGAACAGGUCUGUGUCAGGUGGGGCUUGAAGAGUUGAGGUGAGAUACAGGUUUGUACUUUGGGUUUCUACCAAGUAAGGUCUGAAUGCUGAGGUCAGGCUCUGGUUAGUAUUCUGAAUCUGAGGAGCUGGGGUCAAGCACAGGUGGGUAGAGCUGAGUUUUUCAGGUAACAUCUAUGAAACCAAAGGCAAGCAGAGGUAGAUUGAGCUGAAAAGCCAUGGUUAGGUUCAUUCAACUCUGUCUCACCAUUGAGUUUAGGCAUACGUUGGUAGACGAGAUCUGUCAGGCGAGGCCUAAGGAGCUGGUGUUAGGCUUAUGUAGAAAGAACUGUAUCUCUUAGAUGAUCUCUGAGGAUAUGAAGUGAAGUCAGGAGGACAGGGCUCAGUCUCUCAGGUGAGAUCUUAGGAACCAGGAUUGGGUACGAGUGACUAGAUCUGGAUCUCCUAGGUAAGGUCAAGAUCAGCAGAUAGAACUGCAUCUCUGCCUAUCUUGUAGAAUUAUUUUGCAAGAUUGACGAGUUGUGGCCAGGUACAGGUAUAUGGAAUUGAGUUUCUCAGGAAGGGUCUACGGAGUCUGUAAAUGGCACAGGUUUGUAUCCUUGGGACUGUCAGUAUAGUUCAGCACAGGUGAGUACAGCAGGGUUUAUCAGGUAAGGUCUGUGGAGCCAAGAUUAGGGCAGGUUCACAACACUCAAUCUGUCCAGUGAGUUCUAAUAAGUCACAGUCCAGCCCUGGGAAGAACCGAAUGUCUUAGGUGAGAUGUGAGCAACGGAGAUGAGGUAUAGGUAGGCGGAGCUAGCCCACUAGGUACAGUCUCAGAAGCAAGCACAGGUAGGUAGAAUUGCACUGCCAGGUGUGGUCUGAAGAGCCAGGGUCCAGCACUGGUAGGCAGAUCCAGCCCACCAGGUGAGGUCUGAGGACCCAGGGGUCAAGCACAGGUAGGCAAAACUGGCCCACCAAGUAUGGUCUGAGAAGCCAGGGUCAAGCCCAGGUAGGUAGAACAGGCUCACCAAGGUGAAGUCUGAGGAACCAAUGAGAAACACAGGUAGGAAGAGCUGGUCCGGCAGGUGAGGUGUGAGGAACCAGGGUCAACCAUAGGUCCACCAGGUAUGGUCUGAGGAGUCAGAGUCAAGCACAGGUAAGUAAAACCGCCAGGUAUGAUCUGAGAAGCCAAAGUCAAGCAAAGGUAGGUAGGACUGGCCUAUCAGGUGAAGUCUGAGGAACUGGAGUCAAGCACAGGUAGGCAGAUAUGGCUUGCCAGGUGAGGUCUCAGGAGCCAGGGUCAAGCACAGGUAGGUAGAAUUGGCCUGCCGGGUAUGAUCUGAGGAGCCAAAGUCAAGCACAGGUAGGUAAACUGGUCCACAAAGGGUGGUUGGAGGAGCCAAGAUCAAGCACAGGUAGGCAGAGCUUGCCUGGCAUGUGAGGUCUGAGGAACCAGGAUCAACCAUAGGUGGGUAGAACUGGUCCACCAGGUAUGGUCUGAGGAGCCUAGGUCAAGCACAGGUAGGCAGAUCUGGCUUGCCAGGUGAGGUCUGAAGAAGCAGGGUCAAACACAGGUAGGUAGAACUGGUAUAUCAAGCAGCCUCAGGAACUGGAGUCAAGCACAGGUAGGCAGAACUGGCCUAUGAGGUGAAGUCUGAGGAACUGAGGUCAAGCACAGGUAGGCAGAUCUGCAUUGCUAGGUGAGGUCUGAGGAGCCAGGGUCAAGCACAGGUAGGUAGGUAGAACUAGCUUACCUGGUACAGUCUGAGGAACCGGGGUUAAGCACAGGUAACACUGCCAGGUACGAUCUGAGGAGCCAAGGUCAAGCAUAGGUAGGUAGAACUGGCCUAUCAGGUGAAGUCUGAGGAACUGAGGUCAAGCACAGGUAGGCAGGCCUGACUUGCCAGGUAAGGUCUGAGGAACCAGGGCCAAGCAUAGAUGGGUAGAACUGACCCACCAGGUAUGGUCUGAGGAGCCAGGGUCAAGCAAAGGUAGGUAGAACUGGCUUAUCAGGUGAAGUCUGAGGAACCAGGGUUAAGCAUAGGUAGGUAGAAUUGGCUUGCCAGUUAUGGUCUGAGGAGCCAAGGUCAAGCACAGGUAAGUAAAACUAGACCACCAGGUAUGAUCUGAGGAGCCAAGAUCAAGCAAAGGUAGGUAGAAUUGGCCUAUCGGAUGAGAUCUGAGGAACCAGGGUCAUGCACAGAUAGGUAGAACUGGCCUACCAGGUAUGGUCUGAGGAGCCAAGGUCAAGCACAGGUAGGUAGAACUGGUCCACCAAGGGUUGUUGGAGGAGCCAAGAUCAAACACAGGUAGGCAGAGCUGGCCCAGCAGGUGAGGUCUGAGGAACCAGGGUAUGAUCUGAGAAGCCAAAGUCAAACAUAGGUAGGUAGAAUUGGCCCGCCGGGUAUGGUCUGAGGAGCCAGGGUCAAGGACAGGUAGGUAGAACUGGCGUAUCAGGUGAGGUCUGAGGAACUGAGGUCAACCACAGGUAGGUAGAUUUGGCUUGCCAGGUCAGGUCUGUGGAAUCAGGGUCAAGUAUAGGUAGGUAGAACUGCACUGUCAUUUUUGGUCUGAGGAGCCAAAGUCAAGCAUAGGUAGGUAGAACUGGCCCACCAAGGGUUGUUGGAGGAGCCAAGGUCAAACACAGGUAGGCAGAGCUGGUCCAGCAGGUGAGGUCCGAGGAACCAGGAUACGAUCUGAGGAGCCCAGGUUAAGCAUAGGUAGGUAGGACUGGUCUAUCAGGUAAAGUUUGAGGCACUGGAGUCAAGUACAGGUAGGCAGAUUUGGUUUGCCAGGUGAGGUCUGAGGAACCAGGGUCAAAUAUAGGUAGGUAGAACUACACGACAGUGUAGUGGUCUGAGGAGCCAAAGUCAAGCAUAGGUAGGUAGAAUUGGCCCACCAGGUAUGGUCUGAGGAGCCAGGGUCAAGGACAGGUAGGUAGAAUUGGCAUAUCAGGUGAAGUCUGAGGAACUGAGGUCAAGCACAGGUAGGCGGAUUUGGCUUGCGGGUCACGUCUGUGGAACCAGGGUCAAGUAUAGGUAGGUAGAAUUGCACUAUCAUUUGUGGUCUGAGGAGCCAAAGUCAAGCAUGGGUAGGUAGAAUUGGUCCACCAGGUGAGAUCUGAGGAUCUGGGGUAAAGUACAGGUAGGUGGAACUAGCCAUUGGUCUUAAGGAUUCAGGGUCAAGCACAGGUAGGUAGAACUGGCCUCUCAGGUCAAGUCUGAAGAACUGGGGUCAAACACAGGAAGGCAGAUCUGGUUUGCCAGGUGAGGUCUGAGGAGCCAGUGUUAAUUAAGCACAGGUAGGUAGAACUGGCCCACCAGGUAUGGUCUAAGGUGUCAAGGUCAGGCACUAGUAGGUUGAACUAGCCUGUCAGGUUAAGUCUGAAGAACUGGGGUCAAACACAGGUAGGCAGAUCUGGCUUGCCAGGUCAGGUUUGAGGAGCCCGGGUCAAGCAUAGGUACGUAGAACAACCACCAGGUGCAGUCUGAGGAGCCAAGGUUAAGCACAGGUAGGCAGAGCUGGCCUGGCAGGUUAGAGGAGCUGGGGUCAGAGACAGGUAGGUAGAAGUGGCCAGCCAGGUAUGGUCUAUGUAUGGACUCAGGGGCAUGUAAGGUAGGCAGAUCUGGUCUGCCAGGUGUGGUCUGAGGACCCAGAGUCAAGCACAGGUAGGUAGAAAUCGCCCUCCAGGUGUGAUCUAAAGACCAGAGUCAUGCACAGGUAGGUAGAAGUGGCCCACCAGAUAUGGUCUGAGGAGCUAAAGGUCAAGCACAGGUAGGCAGAAUUGGCCUGCUAGGUACAGUAUAAGGAGCCAGGGUCAUAGAAGGUAGGUAGAGCUGGCCCACCAACUGCAGUGUAAGAGCCACAGGCACGUAAAGUAGGCAGAUCUUCCCUGCCAGGUGUGGUCUCAGGACCCAAGAUCAAGCAAAGGUAGGUGGAGCUGGCCUGUCAGGUGUGGUCUGAGGAGGGAGGUAGAGUUGACUUUCAGGUGUUGGAUUCAGGCAAAGGCAUGUACCCUUGGAUUUUUGUGGUGGGGCCUGAAGAAGGUUAAGCCUGGGUGGGUGGAGUGGCCACAGGCGAGUCCCACAGCAUUGGGGUCUUUAGGUAGACAGACACUGUGGGGUUCAAGGGAAGUCUGUAAGCCCUAAGUUAGACGAGAGUAGGUAGAUGUGGCUCUCUCAAGCAUGGACUUUGGAGCCAGAGAUCUACACCUGAGUCUUGUUGGUAAAGUCCUUGGAACGUGGCUCUGGCUUAGGUGUGCUGGCCCAGGUUUUAGAGUUAGAAGGGAGGCUUGGAGAGCAUGGGUUAGUCACAGGGAGGGAGAGCCACAUCUCAAGGCGGGGGGGGGGGGGGUUCUCUAGAGCACUGGUAUACACAGAGAUACUUGUGUCUGAUGAGGUCUGAGGCUCCUCAGUGAGCGGUUGUUGCCCGGUCAAGCAGUGGCUGCUAAUGUCGGAUCUGCAAGAUGCUGAGAUCCAUGUCAGACAAGGGAUAUGGAGCUGGGUUUCUCAAGUUGGGCCUGGGAGUUGAGGUCAGGCCUGUUUAGACAGAGCUGAGUCUCUCAGGAAAGUGUGAGGAGUCUGAGUUGGGCUCAGGGAAGUACGCCCGAGUCUGUCAUCUGAGAUGUGGGGGGUCAGGCACAGAUACAUGGAGCUGGGUACACCCGCUGAGCUUUCUGGAGCCAGUCUCAGACAGGUGUGUGACCCUGUAGUAUGAGGUACUGGAGCGGGACACAGGUAGGCAGAGCUAACCUCACAGGCGAAGCCACUGCAUCCAUGCAGUGUCGUGAGUCCGUGGAUCCAGAGUCAUGUGGGCAGAGGUAUAUAAGUGUGAUCUUAGGUGGGUUCUUGUCACCUAGAUUCAGGUAUGAGUUGGCAUCCCUGGGCUUGUUAGGUGAAAUGAGAAGGCAAGCUCUAGCCCAGGAAUGCAUAACUGAUGUGGCUGGUGAGGCCUGAGAAUAUGGGUCAGGUGCAGGUGGGGUCCUCAGUGGUAGGAUCAGGCAUGGCUUGGGUAGCAUGGGCUGCCCUCAAGGGAAAGCCAGAGUCAUCGUAGGUAUGUGUACCUGGGUCUGCCUGGGGACCCUUAGGAUCAGGUAGGACAGAUGGAAUGCCUUGGCCAGGGCAGCUUCCUGUUCUCAGUACCCCGGUCAGGCAUGAUAGGCAGAGCUCAUGGUGUUGCAGAGGCAUGAGGAUCUCUAGCCAGUCCAGGGUGUGAUCUAUAGCACUGGGGUCUGAGUUACUCAGGUGAGGGAAAUAAUAGAAUUAUAACUAGUUAGAUAAAGUGAGGUUUGUUGUGGGAGAGGCAUAGAAUGCUGACUGACGAGCUAUAAGGUGUGAUCUGCAAGAGCCGCUGCAGCGAACAUGAGUUCUAGAGACUGUGUCCUGUAGGUGGAGGUCUUAGAGGCUCAAGUCAGACACUGGCAUUGCCUGGCUCCCAAAAGUGAGGUCUGAUGACCUGGCUCAGCCAAAAUCAGCAGCUUGGCAGUCUGCUUUCUAGAACUGAGUCUGUUCGGUGAGAUCUGAGAGCCCAUGUCAUGCAUGGUUUGGCCCCUGGGACGGUGUCUGUCAGGUAAGGUUUCCCCAAACCUGGACUGUUUCCAGGUGAAGGGCCUCCCUGUUCAUCUCAUUACCCAGGCCAAAAACCUCUGGGCUGCACUUGAUUCUCUCAUUCUCUCAAUUCACCCUAUUUGAUUGAAGUUCCUGAAUCAGUCCUUUGCACCCUCAUCCACAGUACUGUCACGUCCCUGAUGACCCCUGGCAUUCCCUGCUUCAUUCUCCAGCGUUGCCUCUCAGCUUCUACCCUCCAGCUCCGCUGCUUCUUCCAUCUAGAAUGUGCUGUGCUUCUCUUGCCCAGCCUGUCUCAAUGGGCCUCCGAUAGAGAAUUAAGCCCUAAUGCCCCAAAGCAUCCAGGGGAUGUAAUGAAUCAGCAUCUCUUCUUUGCUUCUAGGAGAGUACUAGCCUUGGACCAUCCUUGGGACAGUUAAGAAGUGAAGUCACUGAAAGUAUUUUCUGUGGGGCUUAACUCUCUCACUAUUGAGAAAGGCUGCUCUAGCCACAGGACCUUUGCCUAUGCUGUGCUGGCUGCUGGAAUGCUUCUCCUCACUCAGUGCUUUCCUGGGUAAUGCCUGCUCAUUCCUUAGAUCCAAGCUCAAGCACUCCUCAGGUUCCUUUCAUAAUUGGUUUCACUGGUGUAUUUCC